CCCCUGCCCCCGGGCGUGGUCCGGCGGGCUCCGCCGUGGUCCCGGCGCGACGCCGAGCCGCGAUGCCGCGGCUGCAGAGGUGCCCCUUCCCUCGGGACGAGGCCCCCGCAUGGCGGGGUGAGCGCGUGUCCGCAUCGCGCCUCGCCGAGAGGUGAGGAUCCUCACAGGGCGGCUUGUAGUGUGAAAUGUGUUGGAGUAAGGAUUUGGUUGGACACUUCGAUGGGCAAACUCCCCGAAGGAGUAGCCAUGAGAGAACUGAGACAAAUAAAAAUGGGCCAGCAGACAUGAUACAGUGAAGUGCUUUACAUUAUAUUGAAUACAUCCAUCCUGUUGCAGAGGAAUUUUUUAGCACGAACUUGUAGGCUGGUCAGUCAGCGACAUCAUAAGUCAUGGAAUCACAGAACAGUUGGAGUUAGAAGGAACCUCUGAGAUAUCUGGCCCAACAUCUGUGCCUAAUCAUAGCCACCUAAACCACGUUACCCAGGACUGUAUCUGGAUGGAUUUUGAAUAUCUCCAAGGAUGGAGGCUCCUCUCUCAUCUGACCACCGAUAGUACAUGAUAAAUCAGAAUGAAUCUGUGUGAGGCAAAGGUCAGAUUUGAUACUAGGAAAAAGUUCUCUGAGAGGGUGAUUAGUCACUGAACAGGCUCCCCACUGAACUGGUCACAGCACCAACCCUGUCAGAGUUCAACAAGCAUCUCAAGGACACUCUUUGUUACAUGGUUUAGUUUUAGAUAUUCCUGUGAGGAGCACUCUUGGACUCGAUGAUCUUUAUGGAUGCUUCAAACCUCCCUGGGCAGCCUGUGCCAGUGCUCAGUUACCUUCAGAGUGAAAAGGAGUUUUCUGGUGUUUGGAAGGGACCGUCUGUGUUUCAAUUUGUGCCCAUUGCCUCUGAUUCUUUCAGUGGGCACUUCUGAGAAGAGCCCAGCUCCAUCCUCUCUGUGCCCUCCCUUCAGCAGAGGUGCUUCAGCCUCUUAAUCUUUGCAGCACGUUGUUGGACUCUCUCCAGUGUAUCUGGAUCAUGCUUUCCAAUACUUCAGAUUGCUGUCACCGGCAGAGUGUCUUGCUAUAUGUUCCUGGAUUGCUGCAAUUAUACCAGAGCACGGUGCCAGCAAGGGCAAAGGUGGUUUAACCUACUGUACAAAUCCUAUCUGGAGUUUGAUUAGACCCCUAACUAAUUACUUUCAGCAUGAGUAAAGAGAGAGGAAUAACAUUUUUCUUCAUAGACAGUCUUUGUUCUGUAAUUAAUCUUUCAGAUUAGAAUAGGGAAAUCUUUUAUUCUCAACUCAUCAAGAACCUAAAUUGGAAUGUCUAGAAAUCCCGUCAAGUAAGAGGCAGAAAUUCUGCAUAAGAAAUUAUUCCUUACUGCCAGUGGAAAUGAAUUAAUUUUCUUCACACAGAAUAAUUCAACUUGUGUUUGUGGGAAACUCAAGAAUAUUAAAUAAAUCAAGCCAUUUAAAAUGGAUAUUAACAAAGCCAUUUUAAUUCCUCAUGGAGACAGUCUCAAGGUGCAGCCAUAUUCUAAACUAGCUUUGUAAAUGACCCAUUUUUAAAAAGAAACCUUUCCCAAAAUGAUGGCAUUAGAGCUGUUUUUAAUGGGAUCCAUUUCACAGCGUGCUUUAGCAUGCAGUCAUGUAGCCAGAUUGAUUUUACUGAAGGACGUGUCCUAUAAAGCAGAGGACUAGAGCCCAGAGCUGGCAGCACCAGGGAUAGGCAUCUCCUGAUCCAGCUGUGCUGCUGCUGGUCACACUCUGGCUAUGGGAUCACCACGGCUUAGGAGAGGCUCAUCACCUGCUGGACCACAGAAGCUGCCCUGGGCUCACAUUCUUGGUGGAGGCAGCUUAAUUCAGCAGCUCAGCUGGCAAAUGAGCCCUCGAUAAUCUGCAGAAACCCAGGUGCCCAUUGACCAUAAUAUUUUCCCAAAAUUACAAUCAUUUCUGGCAUAUGACUCGAAAAUCAUUGAGGCAGAGGGGAAGAAGCUUCUCAAGAAAGCAGUAGAAGAAUCACUACAGCUGCAAGUGAAAAGAUCAGCACAUUUUAUCAUGUAGUAUUUAUUAAUUAUUUUUCUUUUAUAGCUUAAUGGGUGGACAAUACCCUUUUAAGGCAUGGGAUGUAAUCUCACUUUUACAACUUCAUUAUGAGUUUUCUGCAGUGUAACACUCUUCUUUUAAUGCCCUAAAAAGUAAUCUCCAAAAAAUCCAUGGUAAUUGCCUAUCUUUUAGUAAUUUCCAAUAGCUCAGGACAGUAAUAACAAUAGUAAUAAAAUUAAUAAUCCUUUGGAAGUGCAUAGCUCUUCAUUUCAAUCAUACUACUUCUUGUAAGCAUUAAUUAUCACUCACAGUAAUCUUGAGUUAUGUAAGUAAAUACUGCCUUUCCUUAAUAGAUUAAUAAAAUGAAGAAGUGGAUCAAAAUGA